ACUGGUGUGGUUGUCACCAAUACGAGGUUGUCCGUUUAAAAAGCGAUGUGAAUAGACGGUCUCUGAGUUAGGGAGGGCGGCGGAGACGCCGACGGCGGAUGUGAUCGAAGCGGGAGAUCUAUCUAGAUGGGGUGGUGGCGUCGCCGGGGAAGGAGGACAGGGAGAGAUUGUGCGGCGAAGAAAAAUGACUACCCGAGUCCGGAAAGACCACCUUGCCCUCUUCUUCAAGGCGGUAACUUUCUUCGUCGAUGGAUUCCAGAUUUCGCCCCCUUGAGCCCUAAUCUCCUGAUGGAGGGGGAUCUCUUGCGAGAGACUCAUCAAAGUUUGAAUUUUCGCCUAUCUGACUUCUUGGGUACAAAUUUCGCCGUUUUCGACGGCCAACGACCAUCUCUAAUGCUGCUAAGGAAUCAAGAGGCAGAGUGAUGCGGCGUUUUGCUAGCAAGCGAAUCAGCCCUCAAGCCCCUUCUGGUAACUUUGAAAUCGGACAGAUCUCAACCUUCUCAGGUCUGGAGGGCAAGGACGAACUGUACUCUUCAGCUUCCCAAGGCACCUGAUCGUUUAGAAGAAGAUUCGCAAAAGAAAUCUCCUCGGCGGCAUGAGCAUUUGCAGUGCUGGUGCUUUUCCUUUCAUGGUCGUGCCACAGUGGCCUCAGGGCUUGAGACAAAGAGACAGUGGUGUUGCAGUUCGGGCUGCUCGACGACAGUAUUCAUGGUUGAAGGCUAUCAAGGGUGGCUCAGCUGUUUACGCUGCUUUAGAGAAGAAGGCUGAGCUAUAUGAACAACAACAUCAUCGAAGAAACAACAACAAGAACACAACAAGGAUCAAGAUCUGAUCUUUUCUUCAGGAACGAAAAUUUUCAACAAUGGGUCAUCAAAAAUUAUCUUUUAAUGAAUGGAAAAGGAAAGAUUAUUUAAAUGUGGCAGCCGCAGCAGAGG